UACAGAGGGUGCAAGCGUUGUUCGAGAUCAUUGGGCGUAAAGCGCAUGUAGGCGGCGCGACAAGUCUGAUGUGAAAUUCCUCGGCUCAACCGGGGAGGGUCAUUGGAUACUGUCGUGCUCGAGUGCCGGAGGGGUGAGUAGAAUUCCUGGUGUAGUGGUGAAUACGUUGUAUAUCAGGAGGAAUACCAGAGGCGAAGGCGGUCGACCUGGACGGUCGACUGACGCUGAGAUGCGAAGGUAU
rnacentral:rRNA from 1 species